rnacentral:rRNA from 1 species
UACGUAGGCAGCAAGCGUUGUUCGGAUUUACUGGGCGUAAAGGGCGCGUAGGCGGCCACUGCAAGUCAGUUGUGAAAUCUCCGGGCUUAACUCGGAACGGUCAGCUGAUACUGCUUUGCUAGAGUGCAGAAGGGGCAAUCGGAAUUCUUGGUGUAGCGGUGAAAUGCGUAGAUAUCAAGAGGAACACCUGAGGUGAAGACGGGUUGCUGGGCUGACACUGACGCUGAGGCGCGAAAGCUAGGGUAGCAAACGGG